rnacentral:rRNA from 1 species
GAUGAACGCUAGCGGCAGGCUUAAUACAUGCAAGUCGAGGGACAGCACAGGUAGCAAUACUGGGUGGUAACCGGCAAACGGGUGCGGAACACGUACACAACCUUCCUUUAAGUGGGGGAUAGCCCAGAGAAAUUUGGAUUAAUACCCCGUAAUAUAGUUGAAUGGCAUAAUUUGAUUAUUAUAGCUACGGCGCUUAAUGAUGGGUGUGCGGCUGAUUAGAUAGUUGGCGGGGUAACGGCCCACCAAGUCUACGAUCAGUAGCGGAUGUGAGAGCAUGAUCAGCCACACGGGCACUGAGACACGGGCCCGACUCCUACGAGAGGCAGCAGUAAGGAAUAUUGGUCAAUGGACGCAAGUCUGAACCAGCCAUGCCGCGUGAAGGAUUAAGGUCCUCUGGAUUGUAGACUUCUUUUAUUUGGGACGAAAAAGGGCCUUUCUAGGUCAACUGACGGUACCAGAUGAAUAAGCACCGGCUAACUCCGUGCCAGCCGCCGCCGUAAGAC